AAUUUCUUCCCUGACACAUUCAGUCUUCCUCUCUUGUCAUGGGAGUUAACUUAUCUCUGAAUCAGACCACAUGAUUCACAGCGCCGACCAUGAAGAAUCUGACAUUCCUCUCUGUUAUCUCUCUGAGAUCAGCAUGGACAGCAGCAGAACCAGAUCAACAUUUUCUACAAGGAGUUCAAAAAAGAGAUUUCUACUGAGUGUGUGGACAACGCUGAGGGAUUUCCUGGUGUUAUCGUGUAUGACGAUGAAACAUUCCCCAUUUCUUCACCACCAGGUCAUGACGAUAGCGUGCUGAUGGCUUCUGCUGAUGAACUAGGCCCUUACAGCUCCGUGCAACCUUUUCAAAAAGUAAUGAUCAUGAUGAUGAUGAUGACGAUGCAGUGGAUUGGGAUCUUCUAGAGGCUGACAGUGGAGAAGUACUGUGCAGGAGUGGGACGAGGAGGAGGAUGAAGAUGAUGACUGACAGUUAGCCAUCAACAUAAAGAGCCAUGGCAGCUUUAGUUUUUUGGUUUUUUUUAAGUUGUGUUUUUGGGCAUUAAUGAUAGGACAGCCGAAGAGAGACAGGAAAUGUGGGGUAUAGAGAGUGGGGGAAGACAUGCAGCAAAUGGUCGACAGGUCGGGAGUCAAAUUUUUUAUGUUUGUUUGGGGACUUUUAUGCCCGUAUUAAAGCUGCUUUUGGUAGGAAUGGUUUAAAAAAAAAUUACUUUUUUUCUGCAGGGUUUCGAGAAAAAGUCAUAAUACCAAUCAGUACUCAUCUGUAAGUGAAGUAAUCUGAGAUUAUGGCGAAAUCUCUGUGUUUUCCAAUGCCUUUGUAUCAAGCAAUGUUAUUAUUCCCCUCGUCCGUUAUCACGGACCAAUCAGAGCUACUCCCCAACCCUCUGUCCUGAUUGGUCGAGUGGCGGCCCCACUAUUUCGCCCUGAUUGGCUUCCCAGUCAAUCAGGGCAUUCCUCAUAGAACGCGCACAACAAUCUUUUGUGGGCGGGGUUACGACUGCAGAGAGGGGAGGCCUAGUGUUGACGUUCGAAAUCUCUUUUAGAACUGAUGUUUAUAUCAAGACUACCAACAGCAGCUUUAAGAGGGAACAGUGAAUGGCGUGGAAAUGCAGUGGUUGUCUACAGUAUCUGCCAUAGACGGCCUGCUGCUGUGGACGUGCCAGACUCCAGCGGCAACAGCUUCUACUAUUUGUCUCAUCACUAUCAUCUCUCUCUCUUCAUCUCCCUCUAUCCCUCUCUCCAACCCCAACUCGGUCUCAGCAGAUGUGUGUCUAACAUGAAUCUGGUCCUGCUGGAGGUUUCUGUCUGUUAAAGGAAGUUUGUCCUUGCCACUGUAACUUGCUAAAUGCUGCAAAGUGCUCUGCUCAUGGUGGAUUAGGAUUAGAUCAGACUGAGUCCUGUCUGUAAGAUGGGACUGGAUCUUAUCCUGUCUUGAUGUUGGGUCUUUGUUAAUAAUAUAACAGAGUACGGUCUAGACCUGCUGUUUGUAAAAGCGUAUUGAGGUAACGUUUGUUGUGAUUUGGUGCUAUAUAAAUAAAGAUUGAUUGAUUGAAGUAGGGAGAUGGCUGCCCUCUUCAAGGACCACAGCCACUGUACAUAGGGGUUGAUAUGGCUGGAAUACAACUUGUGCUGUUUGCAAAAUAUCAAAGCGACUGUAAAACAACCAAUAAACAAUUGAUCACAAAUUUUA